GACGAACGCUGGCGGCGUGCUUAACACAUGCAAGUCGAACGGUAAGGCCCUUUCGGGGGUACACGAGUGGCGAACGGGUGAGUAACACGUGGGUGAUCUGCCCUGCACUUUGGGAUAAGCCUGGGAAACUGGGUCUAAUACCGGAUAGGACUACGCGAUGCAUGUCGUGUGGUGGAAAGCUUUUGCGGUGUGGGAUGGGCCCGCGGCCUAUCAGCUUGUUGGUGGGGUGAUGGCCUACCAAGGCGACGACGGGUAGCCGGCCUGAGAGGGUGUCCGGCCACACUGGGACUGAGAUACGGCCCAGACUCCUACGGGAGGCAGCAGUGGGGAAUAUUGCACAAUGGGCGCAAGCCUGAUGAAGCGACGCCGCGUGGGGGAUGACGGCCUUCGGGUUGUAAACCCCUUUCAGCACAGACGAAGCGUAAGUGACGGUAUGUGCAGAAGAAGCACCGGCCAACUACGUG
rnacentral:rRNA from 1 species